GGAGGGGUGGGUGAGCGGCUAAUACCAACAGACUGUAAAUCUGUCGCCUGAAAUGGCUACGCAGGUUCGAAUCCUGCCCCCUCCACCA
rnacentral:tRNA from 2 species